AUCUCUUCACAACAGCCCUCACCCCUCUUCUCCCAUCUCUCCUCUUUCUCUCUCUAUCUCCCUCAUUUCUCAAAAACCCUACGAUAAAAUCAUCAACGCUGCCUUUCCCAUCACCGGUCAUCCCUCUCCUCCACUAGUGCCUCCUCUGUUGCCCUUUCCUUGCUAGCACCACCGCUGCACCAGCCAUGGUCGCCGACCUCACCUCCACUGCCAGCCACUGGCGAAGCCACCCCUCCAGCCGCCGCGUCGUCAUCUCCACCAUCCACCGCCAACAGCCUGCCCCACGCCGCCGAAACAGAUCCAAGACCCCGACCGAACUAGCCCCAUCGUCAACCCCUCUCCCUCUCCGUCAGGUUCUUUGAGUUCAACUGAAUUUGUUACUUUUUACUUAUACUAUAUAUACAUAUGCAAAACAAAAUAUGUGAAAAAUAUUUGUACAUAUAGUAAGAUUUCAAGCAUUUUGAACCUACUGACUAGAUCCUGAAUUCGGAAGUAUAAAAGAUAAUCUGAAGGCUUACCUUUACGUGCAGUGGUAAAAGAAUAAGUAGAUGGGUCAAUUUCAUUUUUAAAAAGGAAUAAAACUUUAUUAUAAAAUAGUAAUGAAACAAUGAUGAGGUGGGGCAAUGAGAGAAGUAGCUUUAUUACCUCUUAAGGUGUACCCAGGGGAAGAAACAGUACUAGAAAUGGGAAUAUUUGAUCUAAAAGAUUUUGCAUCUUCUCUGAAACUUCUAAUAUAAGAAGAUGAAAAUAUUCUUGAAUUUGUGUUUUCUCUGCUAAUUUUAGCCUUAAGACCCAUUCUCUAAGGUUAAAAUCUCUAUCAUCUUGCUUUCUUGAAUUUCCAAUAGGUGAAUGCGCCAUGCUAGUUUCAAGUUUCAUUAUGGUUUUGACUUAAAUAAGUUGUUCACUUUUUUAAAUAGAAGGGAAAAUAAGGAGGAUAUAUAAAUUUCAAAAGAAAUUGGUACAUGGUAUAUGCACUUAAAUAUUAAAUACAUUAUAGGGUACAAAUAUUGUGAGAUUUAAGAAACUAGAAGAAGAUUAAGCCUUAAAAUUAGACUUGGAAUUUAAAAGAAUACAUGAGUUUUGGCCUAUAAAUUGUGUUUAAGGUAGAAAGUUGAUUAUAGAGUUGGAUUCCUUUACUUAUAAAUAAUAUACAUUUGAUAGAUCGUGAAAGUUCUGGGGCGUGGAAGAAAGGAAAGGCUUUUGCGAAUUAGCUUGCUUAUCUUGGAUUCUUCGGUUGAGGUAGGUUAGGGUUUAAUUGAAAAAGUGAAGUGAGUUAGUGAGUCAAAAUUUUUUUAAGUGUAGUUAUUUGAAAGGUGAACUUGUGUUUUGAAUAUAGUUAAGUGUGGUCACUUGAGAAGUGAGUUAGUGAGUCAAAAAUGUGUAAGUGUAGGUACUUAAAAUGUGGACUUGUGUUUUCAAUAUAGUUAAGUGUGGUCACUUGAGAAGUGAGUUAGUGAGUCAAAAAUGUGUAAGUGUAGGUACUUAAAAUGUGGACUUGUGUUUUCAAUAUAGUUAAGUGUGGUCACUUAAGAAAUGAAUUAGUGACUUAAAAAUGUUUUAGUGUAGGUACUUGAAAUGUGAACUUGUGUUUUAAAUUUAAUUAAUUGUGGUCACUCUUGAGAAGUGCAUUAGUGAGUCGAAAAUGUAUAAGUGUAGUUACUUGAAAGGUGAACUUGUAUUUUGAAUAUAGUUAAGUGUGGUCACUUGAGAAGUGAGUUAGUGACUUCAAAAUGUUUAAGCGUAGGUAACUUGUGAAGUGAAUUAGUGACUUAGAAAUAUGAACUUUUCAUUUUGAAUUUAGUUUAGUUUGGUAACUUGUGAAGUGACUUGAUAAUGUUUAGGGGUAGGUACUUGAAAUGUGAACUUUUCAUUUUGAAUUAAGUCUACUUUGGUAACUUGUGAAGUGAAUUAGUGACUUAGAAAUAUGUAGGUAUUUGAAAUGUGAACUUUUCAUUUUGAAUUUAGUUUACGUUGGUAACUUGAAAAUGUUUAGGUACUUGAAUUAUGGAUUAAUGACUUUUGUUUUGAAUUUAGGUACUUGAAAUGUGAACUUGCGUUUUGAUUUUAGUAAAUUGUGGUCACUUGACAAGUGAACUAGUUACUUCAAAAUGUUUAAGUGUAGGUACUUUAAACGUGAACUUUUUCUUUUGAAUUUAGUUUAGUUCGAUAACUUUUGAAGUGAAUUAGAGACUUGAAAGGUGUAGGUAUUUAAAAUGUGAACUUUUGUGACUUGGAACUAAUUAUUUGAAUGUGAUUGAUUAUGUAGAUGGAACCUAAUUACAGUUGGAUAGAUCAACACAAAAUAUUGAUAGUAGAAUGGGUGAGGCUGAGAAUGAAGAUGUGGAUUUGUUGUUUUUAGUCUUUUGUAUGUUUUAUAGUUUGGAUUUGUAACCUCAAUAAAUUUUAUAAAUAAUUUGAUUUUUAAUGUUUGUAUUCUUAUGGUGGUUGGUUGAUUGUAUAUUAAAUGAUUGGUGGGCUAUAUUGUAAAUAAUUUGAUUUGAUUUUUAAUGUUUGUAAAUGAUGGGUGGGCUGUAUUGUAAAUAAUUUGAUUUUUAAUAUUUGUAUUUUAAAAAUUUUCAGUAUUUUUUUUAUAAAA
rnacentral:lncRNA from 1 species